AGUUGUAGAGGAUAAGAGCUAUCCAUUGGUCUCAGGAACCAAAAAUAUUGGUGCAACUCCAAAUACAAGUA
rfam:Pan troglodytes isolate Yerkes chimp pedigree #C0471 (Clint) chromosome 7, whole genome shotgun sequence.